UUUACAAUACAUGUCAAGCCGUGACCACUUAUGGCAUGCUCUGUCAUCGCUAUGACCACUUUGGGUUAAAUAGAUAUUUACGUUACACCUGGCAAACGUCCAAUUAUCGAGAGACAGUUGUUGUAUUAUCAUGCCAAGUUUCCCGGGCGAGAAUUCCCUCGGAAACCAACUUGGACCGACCUUGCUCGCUAUUCAAUAGGGCUGCUUCAAGGUUGACCUUUAAGACCUUCUCCAAACUGAAUUUAUUACAUUUGUGAAGAUUCAACAUGUCAAUGCACCUGGCUAUGGUUAAUGUUCACCUUCUCCUGUUAGUCAAAAAACAAAAUGUUCUUGCAAUAAAAGAUCCUUAGACAUAAA